UGGGGAAUAUUGCACAAUGGACGGAAGUUUGAUGCAGCGACGCCGCGUGGAGGGUGUAGGUCUUCGGGUUGUGAACUCCUUUUUCUCGCGAAAAAGGCACAGUUUCGGCUGUGUUGAUGGUAGUGGGGGAAGAAGCGCCGGCUAACUACGUUCCAGCAGCUGCGGUAAUACGAAGGGCGCGAGCGUUGUCCGGAUUUAUUGGGCGUAAAGAGCUCGUAGGUGGUUCGUCGCGUCUGUCGUGAAAGCCAGCAGCUUAACUGUUGGUCUUCGGUGGGUACGGGCCGGCUUGAGUGCGGUAGGGGUGACUGGAAUUCCUGGUGUAGCGGUGGAAUGCGCAGAUAUCAGGGGGAGCACCGAUGGCGAAGGCAGAUCACUGGGCCGUUACUGACACUGAGGAGCGAAAGAGUGGGGAGCGAACAGG
rnacentral:rRNA from 1 species